AGAAUCAACGCUGGCGGCGUGCCUAACACAUGCAAGUCGCACGAGAAAGGGGCUUCGGCCCUGAGUAAAGUGGCGCACGGGUGAGUAACACGUGAAUAAUCUACCUCCGAGUGGGGAAUAACUGAGAGAAAUCUUAGCUAAUACCGCAUAAUACUUACGAGUCAAAGCAGCAAUGCGCUUGGAGAGGAGUUCGCGGCCGAUUAGUUAGUUGGCGGGGUAAUGGCCCACCAAGACGAUGAUCGGUA
rnacentral:rRNA from 1 species